rnacentral:rRNA from 2 species
GAGUUUGAUCAUGGCUCAGGACGAACGCUGGCGGCGUGCCUAAUACAUGCAAGUAGAACGCUGAAGAGAGGAGCUUGCUCUUCUUGGAUGAGUUGCGAACGGGUGAGUAACGCGUAGGUAACCUGCCUUGUAGCGGGGGAUAACUAUUGGAAACGAUAGCUAAUACCGCAUAACAAUAGGUGACACAUGUCAUUUAUUUGAAAGGGGCAAUUGCUCCACUACAAGAUGGACCUGCGUUGUAUUAGCUAGUAGGUGAGGUAACGGCUCACCUAGGCGACGAUACAUAGCCGACCUGAGAGGGUGAUCGGCCAUACUGGGACUGAGACACGGCCCAGACUCCUACGGGAGGCAGCAGUAGGGAAUCUUCGGCAAUGGGGGCAACCCUGACCGAGCAACGCCGCGUGAGUGAAGAAGGUUUUCGGAUCGUAAAGCUCUGUUGUAAGUCAAGAACGAGUGUGAGAGUGGAAAGUUCACACUGUGACGGUAGCUUACCAGAAAGGGACGGCUAACUACGUGCCAGCAGCCGCGGUAAUACGUAGGUCCCGAGCGUUGUCCGGAUUUAUUGGGCGUAAAGCGAGCGCAGGCGGUUUGAUAAGUCUGAAGUUAAAGGCUGUGGCUCAACCAUAGUUCGCUUUGGAAACUGUCAAACUUGAGUGCAGAAGGGGAGAGUGGAAUUCCAUGUGUAGCGGUGAAAUGCGUAGAUAUAUGGAGGAACACCGGUGGCGAAAGCGGCUCUCUGGUCUGUAACUGACGCUGAGGCUCGAAAGCGUGGGGAGCGAACAGGAUUAGAUACCCUGGUAGUCCACGCCGUAAACGAUGAGUGCUAGGUGUUGGAUCCUUUCCGGGAUUCAGUGCCGCAGCUAACGCAUUAAGCACUCCGCCUGGGGAGUACGACCGCAAGGUUGAAACUCAAAGGAAUUGACGGGGGCCCGCACAAGCGGUGGAGCAUGUGGUUUAAUUCGAAGCAACGCGAAGAACCUUACCAGGUCUUGACAUCCCGAUGCUAUUUCUAGAGAUAGAAAGUUACUUCGGUACAUCGGUGACAGGUGGUGCAUGGUUGUCGUCAGCUCGUGUCGUGAGAUGUUGGGUUAAGUCCCGCAACGAGCGCAACCCCUAUUGUUAGUUGCCAUCAUUCAGUUGGGCACUCUAGCGAGACUGCCGGUAAUAAACCGGAGGAAGGUGGGGAUGACGUCAAAUCAUCAUGCCCCUUAUGACCUGGGCUACACACGUGCUACAAUGGUUGGUACAACGAGUUGCGAGUCGGUGACGGCAAGCUAAUCUCUUAAAGCCAAUCUCAGUUCGGAUUGUAGGCUGCAACUCGCCUACAUGAAGUCGGAAUCGCUAGUAAUCGCGGAUCAGCACGCCGCGGUGAAUACGUUCCCGGGCCUUGCACACACCGCCCGUC